rnacentral:rRNA from 1 species
AGUGAACGCUGGCGGUAGGCCUAACACAUGCAAGUCGAACGGCAGCACAGUAAGAGCUUGCUCUUACGGGUGGCGAGUGGCGGACGGGUGAGGAAUACAUCGGAAUCUACUUUUUCGUGGGGGAUAACGUAGGGAAACUUACGCUAAUACCGCAUACGACCUACGGGUGAAAGCAGGGGAUCUUCGGACCUUGCGCGAUUGAAUGAGCCGAUGUCGGAUUAGCUAGUUGGCGGGGUAAAGGCCCACCAAGGCGACGAUCCGUAGCUGGUCUGAGAGGAUGAUCAGCCACACUGGAACUGAGACACGGUCCAGACUCCUACGGGAGGCAGCAGUGGGGAAUAUUGGACAAUGGGCGCAAGCCUGAUCCAGCCAUACCGCGUGGGUGAAGAAGGCCUUCGGGUUGUAAAGCCCUUUUGUUGGGAAAGAAAAGCAGCAGGUUAAUACCCCGCUGUUCUGACGGGACCCAAAGAAUAGGCACCGGCUAACUUCGU